rfam:Oceanithermus profundus DSM 14977, complete genome.
GGGGGCGAUCCUGGGUUCGACGGGGGCCCUUGAAGGUGAGGCUGCGAGCCGAGGUGCCGGAGGCCUCGUAAAACACCGGCAACGCCAAUAACUGGCAACGAUAACUACGCUCUGGCGGCUUAACCCCGCCACGUCCCUGUCAAGCCCGGCCGGUGGCUCGGGCAGCGGACGACACUAAAGCCGGCUAGCCAAGGGCGAGGCUCCGUAACCCGAGGCGAAAUUCCACGGAGCUGGGUCCUGACCGCCCGUCCGCGGGCCAAGGCAGGACCGAGAACCUGAAACGCGGACUACGCUCGUAGACGCCCACUGGAUAGGCUCUCGGACGCGGGUUCGAGUCCCGCCGCCUCCACCA